GACGAACGCUGGCGGCGUGCUUAACACAUGCAAGUCGAACGAUGACGACCGAGCUUGCUCGGUCUGAUUAGUGGCGAACGGGUUAGUAACACGUGAGCAACCUGCCCUUUACUCUGGUAUAACCUCGGGAAAUCGGGGCUAAUACCGGAUAUGAGCUCCUGUCGCAUGGCGGGUGUUGGAAAGUUUUUCGGUGAAGGAUGGGCUCGCGGCCUAUCAGUUUGUUGGUGAGGUAGUGGCUCACCAAGGCGAUGACGGGUAGCCGGCCUGAGAGGGCGACCGGCCACACUGGGACUGAGAGACGGCCCAGACUCCGACGGGAGGCAGCAGUGGGGAAUAUUGAACAAUGGGCGAAAGCCUGAUGCAGGGAAGACGCGUGAGGGAUGACGGCCUUCGGGGUGUAAACCUCUUUCAGCAGGGAAGAAGCGAAAGUGACGGUACCUGCAGAAGAAGCGCCGGCUAACUACGUG
rnacentral:rRNA from 1 species